AUGGAGCCCCUCGCCGCCUUCGCCAGCUCCUGCAGUCCUUGCACCUACCCCACCAGCAGGUCUCAGGCUGAGUUCGACAAAGCUGCUGAGGAUGUUAAGCACCUCAAGACCCAGCCAGCAGACGAUGAGAUGCUAUUCAUCUACAACCGCUACAAACAAGCAACUGUGGGUGACAUAAAUACAGAGCGGCCUGGGAUGCUGGACCUCAAAGGCAAGGCCAAGUGGGAUGCCUGGAAUGAGCUGAAAGGGACGUCCAAGGAAGACGCCAUGAAAGUGUACAUCAACCAAGUAGAAGAACUAAAGAAAAAAUAUGGAAUAUAGGGACUGGGUUUGGCUGCCAGCCAUGCAUGUCAUCUAAACUGAUAAUCAUGCCUUGUUUUUCUAAUACCACAGAUGAAGUGAAAUAAUGAAAUAAACUUUUUUCCUGAAUACU